AUUGAACGCUGGCGGCAUGCCUUACACAUGCAAGUCGAACGGUAACAGGUCUUCGGAUGCUGACGAGUGGCGAACGGGUGAGUAAUACAUCGGAACGUGCCUAGUAGUGGGGGAUAACUACUCGAAAGAGUGGCUAAUACCGCAUGAGAUCUACGGAUGAAAGCGGGGGAUCGAAAGACCUUGUGCUACUAGAGCGGCCGAUGGCAGAUUAGGUAGUUGGUGGGAUAAAAGCUUACCAAGCCGACGAUCUGUAGCUGGUCUGAGAGGACGAUCCGCCACACUGGGACUGAGACACGGCCCAGACUCCUACGGGAGGCAGCAGUGGGGAAUUUUGGACAAUGGGCGCAAGCCUGAUCCAGCAAUGCCGCGUGCGGGAUGAAGGCCUUCGGGUUGUAAACUGCUUUUGUACGGAACGAAAAGCCCUGGGUUAAUACCCUGGGGUCAUGACGGUACCGUAAGAAUAAGCACCGGCUAACUAUGUGCCAGCCGCCGCCGUAACAC
rnacentral:rRNA from 1 species